rnacentral:sRNA from 15 species
CCUGGACCCGGGGGCGAUACCCGACGAUUCAACAGC